CUGGAAUGAUCAGAUUCCACUUCACUGGUCCGUGUUUCUGAAACACAUGAUUUUGUGGAAAUUCCGACUUA
ensembl:snoRNA SNORD18 Small nucleolar RNA SNORD18